UUAUGUUUAAGGGAAUUCUCAAACUCAAAAUGUUUCCUCUGAGGUUUGUAAGCCUCCAUCGACUGGCAAGAGUGGAAUACUGAGAGCUGAGGGAGACAACUCAGCUGGGUUUCCAAAUAUAAUGACACACGAUCCAUAUGGAGCUCCAGCACAAGACUGCAAGAAGUAUUGAUGUGGUGCUGCUGAUGGGACUUGGGAUUGGGGUGACACCUAUGAUCAGAAUCUUGAAGGAUAUCAUUGAUAACAUGGAGAGGAUAGAAAGGGAAAGAAUUAGGGUAGCAGAAAGAUUAGAGAAAAUUAAGGUUAUUGGCUUUAACAGGAGUAUUUACAGUAUGUCGUAUAGGUAGUUGCAAAAUAAAAUCUGCAGGCAUAUGCUGAAAAAUAUGCUCUAGAUAAGGAAUAAUUCUUCAAGGACUAUGCUGAAGCCCAUGCUAAGCUUAGCAAUGUUGGGGUCAGGCUUGUCAUCAUGAGUGCGCUUUGUUCAAGCCUGAAGUUGCAACUACUAACAUGAGAGGGAGAGAGAAGAAGACAGAGAUACAGAGAGGAAGAGGUAGUGCUAAUAGAAGUCUCAGGUUUGAAAUUGAGCUCAAACAUGGAGGUAAUGCAGGUGAAGUCAUGUAUAUAGUUAUUUAUUUAUUUUCAUAACAUUGGUAAACUUGCCUUUUUGUUUGAAAAUAAAAGGCCAAGUGUGAAUAACGAUUUGUUUGAGGUCUUGUUAAUGCGCUGGAGCUUCUUAAGCCUAUGAAGGAUUAGUACCCUGGGAUAACAUAUGCAAAUCUGUCUCAGUACUGGUAUUGAGGUGCUGGUCCCCCUAAUCAUUUACUAGAAGUUUUAUACAGCAUGGGAUUCAAUGACAAGGAAAUAGCAACUUGCUCAAUAGCCUGCUGAUCAUUUACGAAAAUAUGUUUCAAACCAGAAGUAGUCAAGGCAGCAAUUGUAACAAGUCGUGGAUUAUGUCCUGGUCUCAAUGAUAUUGUUAGCCCACUUGAAAUAUAUGGUGUCGGAAAGAUAAUGGGGAUUCCUUUUGGUUCUCGAAGAUUUUCUGAUAAAGGCUUGAGUGAAGCGGCGGUAUAUUCCGAUCAAUUAUUAUAUCAAUGUAGCUUGUAGAUGAGAAGACAGUUACCUCCAGGAUGGACCAAAGAAAGGUCAUAAGAUCAGAAGAGAUUCGACGACAUGAUUCAUCAAUUUAAUCAAGGUUCAGCAGUCACAUCUUUACCUGAACGUGUAAGAGUGAAGAUCCUCCCUUUUUUAUUUUGGUGUUUUGGCUUAAAGCUGCUAUUGAGGAUCUAUGUCGACAACUUUAUGAAUACCGCAAACACUCAAGAUACUGUUAUGUAAAAACUGACGGGCUUAAGACGAGUUUGCGAAGUAUUUCAGAUGGGAGAAACAAUGUCAGGUGGAACUUGUAUUUUGUCAUGAUGGCAGGAUUCAUCAAUUGGAUUCGGUGCAGCUGUUCGUGAUAACACGAGAGCAGGUUUUGCAGUCGCAUCAUCUGUAAUUGAAUAUGUAAGAGUGAAGAUCCUCCUUUUCAGUUAAAUGGUCGAAAGUGCGGGUCUAUUAGCAGAGUUUAUUGGGCGUCUCCCUAUUUUAGUUCGUUUAUGGGCUCUUACAGAGGAUCAACUUGUGCAGGUGAAGCUACAUCUUAUAGAAAAAGCAUUGAGAUUGAUUGCAGAAAAGCCAUACUGAGAGUAUUCUAACUGAAGCAUGUAUGUGGUGGAUUGUACAUGUCAAAGCCGCAAGUCUUCAGAUAUAAGAGACGACAGUGCAUGCUUGUCAACUACGCUGCCGUCUCUUCCUUCCAAUGGUAAUUAGUUAAGCCAUUUAUCAGUUAGACAAUAAAAUAAAAGGAAUCUAAUGUAUUGCAGGCACCCAUCUUCAAUCACAUCAGCACCAGCAGACGACUACCUCAGUGACUGGAUGCGCAAACCCAAAAUGUUUCCUCUAAGGUUUGUAAGCCUCGACCUGCUGACAAGAGUGGAGUGCUGAGGGAGACAACUCAACUGGGUUUCCAAACAUAAUGACAGACGGUCCAUAUGGAGCUCCAGCACAAGACUGCAAGAAGUAUGAUGUGGUGCUGCUGAUGGGACUUGGGAUUGGGGUGACACCUAUGAUCAGAAUCGUGAAGGAUAUCACUAAUAACAUGGAGAGGAUAGAAGGGAACGAAUUAUGGUAGCAGAAAGAUUAGAUAAAAUUAAGGUUAUUGGCUUUAAAGGGAGUAUUUAUAGUAUGUUGUAUAGGUAGUUGCAAUAUAAAAUCUGCAGGCAUAUGCUGGAAAAUAAGCUCCAGAUAAGGAAUAAUUCUUCAAGGACUAUGGUGAAGCCCAUGCUAAGCUUAACAAUGUUGGGGUCAGGCUUGUCAUCAUGAGUGCUUUGUUCAAGCCUGAAGUUGCAAACACUAACAUGAGAGGGAGAAAGAAAAAGACAGAUAGAGAGAGGAAGGAGCCUAAUGGAGAAUGUGAGAGGGAGAGAGAGGGAAAGAAAGGACCGUCAAAAAGAAGAAUGUGAGAGGGAGAGACAUAGGCAGAGGUAUAAAAGGGGAACGAAACUGACGGGCUUAAUUACAAAGUAUUUCAGAUGGGAGUAACAAUCUCAGGUGGAACUUGUCUUUUGUCAUGAUGGCAGGACUCAUCAAUUGGAUUCGGCGCAGCUGUUCGUGGUAACAAGAGAGCAGGUUCUGCAGUCACAUCGUCUUUAAUUGAAUGUGCCGAAAUUGCUGCUCUAAUAGCAGAGUUUAUUGGGCGUCUCCCUAUUUUAGUUCGUUUAUGGGCUCGGCCAACUUGUGCAGAUAGUACCUCAUAGCUCUGGCAUUACCUUAGAGAAGGGUUUUUUUUGCAUUCCUCUAUAGUAUUCUGAUCAUGCAAAAUGGAUUUUCAGGUGAAGCUACAUCUUAUAGAAAGAGCAUUGAGAUUGAUUGCAGAAAAGCCAUACUGAGAGUAUUCAAACUGAAGCAUGUAUGUGGUGGAUUGUACAUGUCAAAGCCGCAAGGCUCCACAUAUAAGAGCGGACAGUACAUGUUUGUCAACUGCGCUGCAGUCUCUUUCCUUCCAAUGGUAAUUAGUUAAGCCAUUUAUUAGCUUGACAAUAUAAUAAAAGGAAUUUAAUGUACUGCAGGCACCCAUCUUCAAUCACAUCAGCACCUGCAGACGACGACCUCAGUGACUGGACGCGCAAACUCAAAAUGUUUCCUCUGAGGUUUGUAAGCCUCCAUCGACUGGCAAGAGUGGAAUACUGAGAGUUGAGGGAGACAACUCAGCUGGGUUUCCAAAUAUAAUGACACACGAUCCAUAUGGAGCUCCAGCACAAGACUGCAAGAAGUAUUGAUGUGGUGCUGCUGAUGGGACUUGGGAUUGGGGUGACACCUAUGAUCAGAAUCUUGAAGGAUAUCAUUGAUAACAUGGAGAGGAUAGAAGGGAAAGAAUUAGGGUAGCAGAAAGAUUAGAGAAAAUUAAGGUUAUUGGCUUUAACGGGAGUAUUUACAGUAUGUCGUAUAGGUAGUUGCAAAAUAAAAUCUGCAGGCAUAUGCUGAAAAAUAUGCUCUAGAUAAGGAAUAAUUCUUCAAGGACUAUGCAGAAGCCCAUGCUAAGCUUAGCAAUGUUGGGGUCAGGCUUGUCAUCAUGAGUGCGCUUUGUUCCAGCCUGAAGUUGCAACUACUAACAUGAGAGGGAGAGAGAAGAAGACAGAGAUAGAGAGAGGAAGAGGUAGCACUAAUAGAAGUCUCAGGUUUGAAAUUGAGCUCAAACAUGGAGGUAAUGCAGGUGAAGUCAUGUAUAUAGUUAUUUAUUUAUUUUCAUAAAACAAAAGGCCAAGUGUGAAUAACGAUUUAUUUGAGGUCUUGUCAAUACGCUGGAGCUUCUUAAGCCUAUGAAGGAUUAGUACUCUGGGAUAACAUAUGCAGAUCUCAUCUGUCUCAGUACUGGUAUUGAGGUGCUGGUCCCCCUAAUCAUUUACGAGAAGUUUUUUACAACAUGGAAUUCAAUGACAAGGAAAUAGCAACUUGCUCAAUAACCUGCUAAUCAUUUAUGAAAAUAUAUUUCAAACCAGAAGUAGUCAAGGCAGCAAUUGUAACUUGUGGUGAAUUAUGUUCUGGUCUCAAUGAUGUCACUAGACAGAUCUUCAUCACACUUGAAUAAUAUGGUGUCAGAAAGAUAAUGAGCAUUCCUUUUAGUUGUCGAAGAUUUUCUGAUAAAGGCUUGCGUGAAGUGCCGCAAUGUAGCUUGCAAAUCAUAAGCGCAACUAGGAGUGUUACCUCCAGGAUGGACCAAAAGAAGGUCAUAAGAUCAGAAGAGAUUUGACAACAGGAUUCAUCAAUUGGAUUCGGUGCAGCUGUUCGUGCUAACGUGAGAGCAGGUUUAACAAUCACAUCAUCUUUACUUGAAUGUGUAAGAGUGGAGAUCCUCCCUUUUAGCUAUAUGAGGACUUGCAAGGUUGAAAGUGCUGAUCUAACGGCAGAGUUUAAUGGGCGUUUCCCUAUCAUGAAGAUCAUAAAGGAAAAAUUCAUCGACUUUGACAUGUAUGUGUGGCAGGGCUUCAUAAGAAUGGACAAUACAUGUUUAUCACCUGCGCUGCAGCAUAUUCCUUCCAAUGGUAAUUAGUUAAGCCAUUUAUUAAUUAGAAAAUAAAAUAAAAGGAAUUUAAUGUACUGUAGGCACCCACCUUCAAUCACAUCAGCCCCACCAGACGACGACCUUUAGUGUCCACAUUCGAACAGUAGGUGACUGGAUGCGCAAACUCAAGACGGUUUUCUGAGGUUUGUAAGCCUCCAUCGGCUGGUUAGAGUGGAGUGCUGAGAGCUGAGGGAGACAACUCAGCUGGGUUUCCAAAGAUAAUGACAGACUGUCCAUAUGGAGCUGCAGCACAAGACUGCAAGAAGUAUGAUGUGGCAUUGCUGGAUAUGGUAUGAAGGACGCACUUGGCCAUACGAAGAUUAUCAUUUAAGCCAAAAGACAAUAUAGAGCUGGAAGAUGAUAAAUUAAGCUUGUCCCCUAUGUUUGCUGUAUCUUCUCGGCGCUCAACAUCACCUAUUGCUGCUAAUGGAAUGGAUGCUUUCUCCUUCACAGCUGGUGAUCUCUACCUUUAAAUUCUGCCAUGAACUUUGCUUGCCGCUAAGCAUCCUGUUAUUGGGAGCUUUGAAAAGCUUGCCUCAUGUUUUUGUGUCUUUUUUAUUUUGUUGUUUCCGCUUAAAGCUGCUAAUGAGGAUCUCUGUCGACAACUUCAGGAUGGUAGCACAAACUGACGGGCUUAAUUACAAAGUAUUUCAGAUGGGAGUAGCAAUUUAAGGUGGAACUUGUCUUUGUCAUGAUGGCAGGACUCAUCAAUUGGAUUCGGUGCAGCUAUGGUAACAGGAGAUAGUGCGAUGUUUAUCAUUACAGGAAAUAGCAACUUGUUGUGCGAUGUUCCUUUCCAAAACCGAUUCCUUUCUUUCAACGGGCCCCAUUUUUCUAUAUACUAAUUAAUCCAUUCAGUGCAGCUGUUCAUGGCAGGACUCACUUUUGUAAUCAUCUUAACACCCAUCUGGGCUUAUUGUGUGAUGUUUAUCAUUACAGGAAAUAGCAACUUGCUCAAUAACCUGCUGAUCAUUUACGAAAAUAUGUUUCAAACCAGAAGUAGUCAAGGCAACAAUUGUAACAAGUCGUGGAUUAUGUCCUGGUCUCAAUGAUGUCAUCAGAUAGAUUGUUAGCACACUUGAAAUAUAUGGUGCAUGUCGGAAAGAUAAUGGGGAUUCCUUUUGGUUUUCGAAGAUUUUCUGAUAAAGGCUUGAGUGAAGCGCCGCAAUGUAGCUUGCAGAUGAGAAGACGCAACCAGAAGGGUUACCUCCUGGAUGGACAAAAGAAAGGUCAUAAGAUCAAAAGAGAUUCGUUGUUCGUGCUGACAUGAGAGCAGGUUUAGCAGUCACAUCUUUACUUGAACGUGUAAGAGUGUAGAUCCUCUGUUUUUUAUUUUAUUGUUUUGGCUUAAAGCUGCUAAUGAGGAUCUUUGUCGACAACUUCACGAAUACCGCAAACAGAUGCUCAAGAUGGUAGCACUGUUAUGUAAAAACUGACGGGUUUAAGAGGAGUUUGCAAAGUAUUUCAGAUGGGAGUAACAAUGUCAGGUGGAACUUGUAUUUUGUCAUGAUGGCAGGAUUCAUCAAUUGGAUUCGGUUCAGCUGUUUGUGCUAACAUAUGAGCAGGUUUUACAGUCACAUCAUCUUUAAUUGAAAUAUGUCGAAAGUUCUGGUCUAAUAGCCUGAGUUUAUUGGGCGUCUCCCUAUUUUAGUUCGUUUAUGGGCUCUUACAGAGGAUCAACUUGUGCAGGCAGUACCUCAUAGCAUGUAUGUGGUGGAUUGUACAUGUCAAAGCCGCAAGGCUUCAGAUAUAUGAGCGGACAGUACAUGCACUCAUCUUCGAUCACAUCAGCACCAGCAGACGACUACCUUAGUGACUGGACGCUGAAACUUAAAAUGUUUCCUAUGAGGUUUGUAAGCCUCAACCGGCUGGCAAGAGUGCAGUGCUGAGAGCUGAGGGAGGCAACUCAGCUGGGUUUCCAAAUAUAAUGACCGACGGUCCAUAUGGAGCUCCAGCACAAGACUGCAAGAAGUAUGAUGUGGUGCUGCUCAUGGGAAUUGGGAUUGGGGUGACACGUAUGAUCAGAAUCGUGAAGGAUAUCAUUAAUAACAUGAAGAGGAUAUAAGGGAAAGAAUUAGGUCAGCGGAAAGAUUAGAGAAAAUUAAGGUUAUUGGCUUUAAAGGGAGUAUUUGUAGUAUGUUGUACAGGUAGUUGCAAAAUAAAAUCUGCAGGCAUAUGCUGAAAAAUAUGCUCUAGAUAAGGAAUAAUUCUUCAAGGACUAUGCUGAAGCCCAUGCUAAGCUUAGCAAUAUUGGGGUCAGGCUUGUCAUCAUGAGUGCUUUGUUCAAGCCUGAAGUUGCAACCACUAACAUGAGAGGGAGAGAGAUAAAGACAGAUAGAGAGAGGAAGGAGCCUAAUAGAGAAGAAGGUGAGAGGGAGAGAGAGUGAAAGAAACGACCGUGAAAAAGAAGAAAGCGAGAGGGAGAAUAGGGGAACGAGAGAAGGAAAGAGAGCGGGAAUGAGAAAAGGAGAGACUUAUCAAGGAGAAGGAGAAGCAUCGAGGUAUAACAAGAACAUAGAAGAGUGGCCAAGUAGAGGUAGUGCUAAUAAAAGUCUCAGGUUUGAAAUUGAGCUCAAACAUGGAGGUAAUGCAGGUAAAGUCAUGUAUAUAGUUAUUUAUUUAUUUUCAUACCAUUGGUAAAUUUGCCUUUUUGUUUGAAAAGAGAAGGCCUAGUGUGAAUAGCGAUUUGUUUGAGGUCUUGUUAAUGCGUUGGAUCUUCUUAAGCCUACAAAGGAGUAGUACUCUGGGAUAACAUAUGCAGAUCCGUCUCAGUUGACCAGUGCUGCUGGUAUUGAGGAAAUAGCAACUUGCUCAAUAACCUGCUAAUCAUUUAUGAAAAUAUAUUUCAAACCAGAAGUAGUCAAGGCAACAAUUGUAACUUGUGGUGGAUUAUGUUCUAGUCUCAAUGAUGUCAUCAGACAGAUCUUCAUCACACUUGAAAUAUAUGGUGUCAGAAAUAUAAUGAGGAUUCCUUUUGGUUCUCGAAGAUUUUCUGAUAAAGGCUUGAGUGAAGUGCCGCUUGCAAAUGAGAAGACGCAACUAGAAGGGUUACCUCCAGGAUGGACCAAAGAAGGGUCAUAAGAUCAGAAGAGAUUCGACAAGAGGAUUCAUCAAUUGGAUUCGAUGCAGCUGUUCGUGCUAACGUGAGAACUGGUUUAACAGUCACAUCAUCUUUACUUGAAUGUGUAAGAGUGGAGAUCCUCCCUUUUAGUUAUAUGAGGACUUGCAAGGUUGAAAGUGCUGAUCUAAUGGCAGAGUUUAUUGGGCGUUUCCCUAUUUAGUUAGUUCAUCGAAUCUUGCAAAGCAUCAAAUUGUGCAGUAUUUAGGUGUUGGUCCCCCUAUUCAUUUAUGAGAAGGUUUUACAGUAUGAUAUUCAAUGACAAGGAAAUAGCAACUUGCUCAAUAAUCUGCUAAUCAUUUAUGAAAAUAUUUUUCAAACCAGAAGUAGUCAAGGCAGCAAGUGUAGCUUGUGGUGGAUUAUGUUUUGGUCUCAAUGAUAAUCAGACAGAUCUUCAUCAUACUUGAAAUAUAUGGUGUCAGAAAGAUAAUGGGAAUUCCUUUUGGUUUUCGAAGCUUUUCUGAUAAAGGCUUGAGUGAAGUGCCGCAAUGUAGCUUGUAAAUGAGAAAACGCAACUAGAAGGGUUACCUCCGGGAUGGACCAAAGCAAGGUCAUAAGAUCAGAAGAGAUUCGACACAGGAUUCAUCAAUUGGAUUCAGUGCAGCUGUUCGUGCUAACGUGAGAGCAGGUUUAACAGUCACAUCAUCUUUACUUGAACGUGUAAGAGUGGAGAUCCUCCCUUUAGUUAUAUGAGGACUUGCAAGGUUGAAAGUGCUGAUCUAAUGGCAGAGUUUAUUGGGCGUUUCCCUAUUUUGAGUUAGUUCAUCGACUCUUGCAAUGCAUCAAAUUGUGCAGGUGAAGCUACAUCUUACAGAAAAAGCACCGAGAUUGAUAGCAAAAAAGCCAUAAAGAGAGUAUUCUAACUGAAGCCAUGUAUGUGGUCAAAGUCGCAGGGCUUCAUAAGAACGGACAAUACAUGCACCCAUCUUCAAUCACAUCAGCACCACCAGACGACUAUCUUAGUAUCCACAUUCGAACAGUAGGUGACUGGAUACUCAAACUCAAGACGGUUUUCUGAGGUUUGUAAGCCUCCACCGGCUGGCAAGAGUGGAGUGCUGAGAGCUGAGGGAGACAACUCAGCUGGGUUUCCAAAAGAUAAUGACAGACUGUCCAUAUGGAGCUCCAGCACAAGACUGCAAGAAGUAUGAUGUGGCAUUGUUGGAUAUGAAUGAAGGACACACUUGGCUAUACGAAGAUUAUCAUUUAAGCCAAAAGACACUAUAGAGCUGGAAGAUGAUAAUUUAAGCCUGUUCCCUAUGUUUGCUGUAUCAUCUCGGCGCUCAUCAUCACCUAUUGCUGCUAAUGGAAUUGAUGCUUUCUCCUUCACAGCUGGUGAUCUCUCACCUUUAAAUUCUGCCAUGAACUUUUCUUAAGCAUCUUGUUAUUGGGAGCAUUGAAAAGCUUGCCUCAGAGAGACGUAUCAGAAAUAAUGAAUCAGAAGAUAGGAGCACAGUAUGACACAAUCGGGGGAACUCCAGAUAAGCCUUAGUCUGAUUAUUCUAUAGUAUUAUGAUUGGAAUUGUUGUUCUAACAAUUUUGAUAUAGUUUCUUGGAAAUUAAGGUUUAGUUUAUGAUGAUUAUUUAAGGAUAGUAUCGUUUUUUGUGUAUGGUAAUGCUGCGAGUUCAUUAUAUCUUUAGCUGCUUGUCAAUGACCGAAAUUACAUCUGUUCCAACGCUGUUGAUUUAUGUGAAUUGAACUAAUGGCAUAUUAGUUCAAAGAAAAAAAACGAAUGGAACAAUCGGUGUGUUUGUGUUUCUAUGAUUUGGUGUUUUUCUAUGUGGGUGUGUUUGUGUUUCUAUGCUUUGGUAUUUUUCUUUGUGGGUGUGUUUCUCUGUUUCUAUAUGUAAGUGUGUUUGUGUUUCUAUGCUUUGGUAUUUUUGUAUAUAGGUGUGAUUGUGUUUAUGUGCUUUAGUAUUUUUUUUGUGGGUGUGUUUUCUAUGUAAGUGUGUUUUUGUUUCUAUGUUUUGGUGUUUUUGGGUGUGUUUGUGUUUAUAUGCUUUGGUAUUUUUCUACGUAGGUGUGCUUGCGUUUAUGUGCUUUCUUGUUUUUCUAUGUGGGUGUGCUUGCAUUUAUGUGCUUUGGCGUUUUUCUAUGUGGGUGUGUUUGUGUUUAUGUGCUUUGGUGUUUUUAUAUGUGGGGUGUGUUUGUGUUUAUGUGCUUUUUUAUGUGGGUGUUUUAAUAUAUCUCUAUGUAAGUGUAUUUGUGUUUCUAUGCUUUGGUGGUUAUGUGGGUGCAUUUGUGUUUCUGUGCUUAGGUGUUUUUGGAUGUGGGUGUGUUUCUCUAUGAGGUUUUGUUUGUAAUUUUUUGAUUUUUUUGUCUCUACAUAUGCUGAUUUAGUUAUACGAGAGAAAGAGAUUGGUAGCAGAACUUUUUGCAUAUUCACUGUAAUUUAAAUUGGGCAAGUUAAUUUCUGUGGUUGUGUUUCUAGUGUUGCUUUUCUUUCCGCUUAGGUCCUGCGUUCUUAUUGUGAAUAUUUCCUAUUCCUUUGGCGAGCUGAGUUUCUAAUGUUGCUUUUCUUUUGGUUUAGGUUCAAAUUUGUACCAUAGACUCUCUACUAAUUUAAGACUCCUUUAAAGUUUUAACUGUGGAAAUAUUUAGAAUUGGAAGUGCAAGUGUUGCUUUGUACUACAUGGAUAUUUACUAUCCAGUAGGUGCUGCUGUUCUGGGAAUUUUAUUUGCUUUUUUCUCUGCAUCCUUUGGCUACCUUGCAGGAAAACAGCUAAUGCUUCAUGUUGCCGAGUUGGUGCCUCGCGUUAUGGACAGAAGCAGGACCCUGCUGCAUCCACAUCAAAUGCUCUGGGAAGAAGAAGACAUAAUUGAUCCAAUCUUCCGAAUGCAUCUAACAGACUUUGUAUUUCUGUUUUUUGUGAUCCUUGCAAUAGACUUUCUAUUUGUUUUAGGCUAAACGCAUAUUUGGAUCCCUGCACUAUCACUUUUUUCCAGACUGGGUCCCUACAUUAAAAAAGUGUAGUUUUCUUCCCUACACUAUCAGGAAUGUUUAAUGCAAGUCCCUCUGACACUGCGAGUUAACGGAAGGCAAACGGAAUGUAACGUAGGGACUUACAUUAAACUUUCUUGAUAAUGUAGGGAAGCAUUUUAUAAUUUUGAGUGUAGGGACUCAAUUUUAAAAAAAUUAUAAUGUAAGGACUCAAAUAUGUGUUUGGCCAAUAUUUUAUUUUGAAAUUUAAUAAUUUUUUUAGUUGUACGUUGCCAUUAUUAAUAAUCAUUAUUGUGGGUAUGAAUUUAUAUA